CGUUGCACUAUCGUUAACUGAAUACAUAGGUUAACGAGGCGAACCGGGGGAACUGAAACAUCUAAGUACCCCGAGGAAAAGAAAUCAACCGAGAUUCCCCCAGUAGCGGCGAGCGAACGGGGAGCAGCCCGGAGUCUGAAUCAGCUUGUGUGUUAGUGGAACGGUCUGGAAAGUCCGACGGUACAGGGUGAUAGUCCCGUACACGAAAGCACACUUGCUGUGAACUCGAAGAGUAGGGCGGGACACGUGGUAUCCUGUCUGAAUAUGGGGGGACCAUCCUCCAAGGCUAAAUACUCCUGACUGACCGAUAGUGAACCAGUACCGUGAGGGAAAGGCGAAAAGAACCCCGGCGAGGGGAGUGAAAAAGAACCUGAAACCGUGUACGUACAAGCAGUGGGAGCCUCUUUAUGGGGUGACUGCGUACCUUUUGUAUAAUGGGUCAGCGACUUAUAUUCUGUAGCAAGGUUAACCGUAUAGGGGAGCCGAAGGGAAACCGAGUCUUAACUGGGCGUUAAGUUGCAGGGUAUAGACCCGAAACCCGGUGAUCUAGCCAUGGGCAGGUUGAAGGUUGGGUAACACUAACUGGAGGACCGAACCGACUAAUGUUGAAAAAUUAGCGGAUGACCUGUGGCUGGGGGUGAAAGGCCAAUCAAACCGGGAGAUAGCUGGUUCUCCCCGAAAGCUAUUUAGGUAGCGCCUCGUGAACUCAUCUUCGGGGGUAGAGCACUGUUUCGGCUAGGGGGCCAUCCCGGCUUACCAACCCGAUGCAAACUACGAAUACCGAAGAAUGUUAUCACGGGAGACACACGGCGGGUGCUAACGUCCGUCGUGAAGAGGGAAACAACCCAGACCGCCAGCUAAGGUCCCAAAGUCAUGGUUAAGUGGGAAACGAUGUGGGAAGGCACAGACAGCCAGGAUGUUGGCUUAGAAGCAGCCAUCAUUUAAAGAAAGCGUAAUAGCUCACUGGUCGAGUCGGCCUGCGCGGAAGAUGUAACGGGGCUAAACCAUGCACCGAAGCUGCGGCAGCGAC
rnacentral:rRNA from 1 species